AGCUACAUCCGUCACCUGACACGGCCCUACCAGGAACAGCCGCGCUCCCGCGGAUUCUGGUGCUGCUCGCGUCCCCGCUCCCCUAUUCCCCUUAUUUUAUUCCUGGCUCCCCUCGUCGAAAGUCUUCCAUUCUUCAAACUAGAUUAUUUAAAAAUGAAAAAGGAAGAAAGGAAAGCGAGGUCAUCUCAUUGCUCUAUCCGCCAAUCAGGAGGCUGAAUGUCAGUUUUGAACUAAAAGCCGCUCCGCUCCUCUUCUAGAUUUGGAAAACAAGCGAAAUUAAACUAAACCGCUGCACGCCUCUGACGCGACAUCUGGACACGGCGCGGCGCUGGCGCUGCCGGAGCUGUCGACCCGGCCUGGCGCCGGACUAGUGUCCCUUUUGAUGAGAAGAAUAAGCCUCAUUCUGAUUCAACAGCAGAGAUCAAAGAAAAGACUUCUGUUUUCUGGCCACCAGAUAUAUGUUAUCUGUGCUUAAAGAAUUGAAAAACACACAUCAAAGGAGAAUUUUCUUGGAAAGAGAGGGUUCAAGCAUCACUGUUAGGUGUGCUGGAAUCCUUUCCCGAGUCAGUACUGCUUUCUAGAAGAAAACCGGGGAGAUCUAUUUGGAAUGUAUCUAACUCCAAAGAAACCAUCAGAGGUAACAGUAGAGACGGGGUUUCACCAUGUUGGCCAGACUGGUCUUGAACUCUCGACCUCGUGAUUCGCCCGCCUCGGCCUCCCAAAGUGCUGGGAUUACAGGUGUGAGACACCACACCCGGCGGAUAGAGAGAAUUUUGACAGGUGAGGAGGUAUUCCAAUGCAAAAGAAUAAUAGGAGCAAAAGCACAGUGGUGAGAAAUUGGAGGGGAACUGUGAAAAUUGCCACAUAGAUUAGAGGCAGGAAAAUAAAGGACGGCUAAGUUUAUAUAGUGAACAGUGAGCCGCAUGGACACAGGUGACUGUUUUCUCCUUUUUGAACCCCUGCUUACUCCAGAGUCACCACCUCUCCUGGCUUUCUGCCAAUCUUCUUGGCCACAGUUUCUCGGUCUUCUUUUCUGGCUUCUCUUCCUUGGCCUGAAUGCUACAUGUUAAGUGAUGUCAGCUUCAGUUUUCUUAACCUCUCUUCUCUUAAGUUGCUAUCAUUUAAAUAUCUUUAAAUAUCAUCUACAUCCAAGUGACCUCUAAACCAGUAAUUUUACCCAUGACCCAUCUCCUCAACUCCGGAUUGUAUAUAAAACUGUCUACUCAACAUCUUCACUUUUGAUGUCUAAAUCUCUAUGUCCAAUUUAGAAUUCUUGAUUCUUUGCUUUCCCUCCCUCCUGGAAAUCCUGCUCUUACCAGUCUUCCCCAUCUUAAUUAAUGAACCUGACAUUCACCUAGUAGCUUAGUCCUCAAAACUAGGGAUUAAUCUAGAUUUAGUCAUUUUUCUUACUCUUGCCAUAUAAUAACAUAUUAUUCUGAGUUUACCUUUACCCGACCCCAAAUAGGUAACUGCUGUUUUUGUUAUAAGAUAGUAAUAUUUGCCUCUGAGUGUAUGUGAAUUAUUUUGAUAAAAAUAAAUAUUAUUUUUAAAAUAUUAA
rnacentral:lncRNA from 1 species